UUAGCUUUAUAAAAAAAAAAAAAAAAAAAACACAUAUACGUACAAGGUACAACGUACUGACGUAGUAGGUACUUAGGUAGAACAAAUUAAGAGUACCAUUUUCUCACAUCCUAAGGCCAUAAUUAUUUUAUAAUCAGAACCGAAAUUAAUUACCCAUCAUUUAGACAUUAUAAGAUAUGAUCGAUCAAAUGCACAUCAUUUAGACAAAAGAUAGAUUACUUUUGUUUGUUCCAAGUUUUUUUUUUAUCCGUGAAAAAGUUAACUGUUCUGGAAGAUGCUGAGAUCAAUUUUGUUGAAGGAUACUGCUCGAUUGAACUCCAGGCUUUCUGGAUUUAACCAAUUGAGAGGAUUGCACAGCAGAAACAAGAACAGACGGGUCGACGGUUUCAGGUGUAUACUCGGCGUCCAAGAACCUUGGGGCAGCAACAACAACAGCAACAGCACACUGAUCAGCAAGAAGACACAAACAGCAGCAACUACUCAGGCAGCAGGGAUGCAAGGCAGUAAACAACAAACAUGCUAGAAGGGAGACUAGUUUUGGGAAGAGACUAUUUUGAGCAAGGCAACAAGGCAAAGCAGAUGUUUCACUGUUUGGGAAAUAAGACUUUAGACUCUUAUUUCCUUACUUUUGUAUUAUCUAUUUUUAGCACUUGAGGAAAUCAAAAUUGUAAUAUAAUGAAAGGCUUAUAGCCGUUAGCUAUUACAACUUGAAUUGCUUUUUGUUAGCCUGUCUUCCUUGGUUCUUCUCCUGUAAAUGCUACAUGAUGGGCUGGGUUGUUUAUUGUUUUUAGAAUUUUUCUGCCAUCGUUAGUAAAUGCAGCAUAAAGUUUGAUAAGACCUCUUAUUAUGGUAAUACAGGUCACACUGUUCCAGAGUCCAUAACUAAGUUCAACUUGAAGAAACGAAAGGCUGG